rnacentral:tRNA from 1 species
GCGAUGGUGAGCUAGCGGUUAGACUCCUGCCUUGCCAAGGCAGGUACUCGGGUUCGAUUCCCGGCCAUCGCACCA